AUGAUACCGCCAUCACCAACCCUUGUGACUCCGAUGCCAGCACCAACCCCUGCCUCUCCAACGCCAAUCCCGGUGGCCCCAACACCGACCCUCGUGAUGCCGCCAGCACCCACCCCUGUGACUCCGACGCCACCCCCAGCCCCGGCCCCAGCGCCGGCUACAUCGACCGCGCCGGCUACAUCGACCGGCAAGUGCCCCGUGGACACACUGAAGCUACUUGCGUGCGUGGACGUGCUCAAUGGGCUGUUGCACGCGGUGAUCGGCAGUAGCGCCAGGAAUACAUGCUGCCCGCUGCUGUCCGGCGUUGCCGACCUCGAUGCUGCUCUCUGCCUUUGCACCACCAUCAAGGUCAAGGCCCUCAACAUCAACCUCAUGCUGCCCAUCGCCAUCGAGGUGCUCGUCAACCAGUGCGGCAAGAGAGUGCCGAAAGACUUCCACUGCCCUAAUUAA
rnacentral:rRNA from 1 species